rnacentral:SRP_RNA from 1 species
GCCGGGCGUGGUGGCGGGCGCCUGUAGUCCCAGCUACUCGGGAGGCUGAGGCAGGAGGAUCACUUGAGUCCAGGAAUUUGAAGUUGCAGUGAGUGAUGACCCUGCCACUGCACUCCAGCCUGGGCGACAGAGCAAGACUCUGUCUCAA